GGACUACUCGGGUUUCUAAUCCCGUUCGCUCCCCUAGCUUUCGCGCCUCAGCGUCAGAAGAGAUCCAGCACGUCGCUUUCGCCACCGGCGUUCCUUCCGAUAUCAACACAUUUCACCGCUCCACCGGAAGUUCCACAUGCCCCUACCUCCCUCAAGGCGACCAGUAUCCAAGGCUGUUUUCCGGUUGAGCCGAAAGAUUUCACCCCGGACUUGAUCACCCGCCUACGCGCCCUUUAAGCCCAGUGAUUCCGAACAACGUUCGCACGGUUCGUCUUACCGCGGCUGCUGGCAC
rnacentral:rRNA from 1 species